AACGUAGGAGGCGAGCGUUAUCCGGAGUUACUGGGCGUAAAGCGCGUGUAGGCGGCGAUGAAGGUCUGAUGUGAAAGCUCCCAGGCUAAACCGGGAGAGGUCAUUGGAAACCGCAUGGCUAGAGGACGGUAGAGGGGCAUGGAAUUCCGGGUGUAGUGGUGAAAUGCGUAGAUAUCCGGAGGAACACCAGAGGCGAAGGC
rnacentral:rRNA from 1 species